rnacentral:rRNA from 1 species
GCCAGCAGCCGCGGUAACACCGGCGGCCCGAGUGGUGAUCGUGAUUAUUGGGUCUAAAGGGUCCGUAGCCGGUUUGGUCAGUCCUCCGGGAAAUCUGAUAGCUCAACUAUUAGGCUUUCGGGGGAUACUGCCAGACUUGGAACCGGGAGAGGUAAGAGGUACUACAGGGGUAGGAGUGAAAUCUUGUAAUCCCUGUGGGACCACCUGUGGCGAAGGCGUCUUACCAGAACGGGUUCGACGGUGAGGGACGAAAGCUGGGGGCACGAACCGGAUUAGAUACCCGGGUAGUCCCAGCCGUAAACGAUGCUCGCUAGGUGUCAGGCAUGGCGCGACCGUGUCUGGUGCCGCAGGGAAGCCGUGAAGCGAGCCACCUGGGAAGUACGGCCGCAAGGCUGAAACUUAAAGGAAUUGGCGGGGGAGCACAACAACGGGUGGAAGCCUGCGGUUUAAUUGGACUCAACGCCGGACAACUCACCGGGGGCGACAGCAAUAUGUAGGCCAAGCUGAAGACUUUGCCUGAAUCGCUGAGGGGAGGUGCAUGG